CCUACGGGGGGCAGCAGUGGGGAAUAUUGGACAAUGGGGGCAACCCUGAUCCAGCCAUGCCGCGUGUGUGAAGAAGGCCCUCGGGUUGUAAAGCACUUUCAGUGAGGAAGAACGCCUGGUGGUUAAUACCCAUCAGGAAAGACAUCACUCACAGAAGAAGCACCGGCUAACUCCGUGCCAGCAGCCGCGGUAAUACGGAGGGUGCGAGCGUUAAUCGGAAUUACUGGGCGUAAAGCGCGCGUAGGUGGCUUGAUAAGCCGGUUGUGAAAGCCCCGGGCUCAACCUGGGAACGGCAUCCGGAACUGUCAAGCUAGAGUGCAGGAGAGGAAGGUAGAAUUCCCGGUGUAGCGGUGAAAUGCGUAGAGAUCGGGAGGAAUACCAGUGGCGAAGGCGGCCUUCUGGACUAACACUGACACUGAGGUGCGAAAGCGUGGGUAGCAAACAGGAUUAGAUACCCGUGUAGUC
rnacentral:rRNA from 1 species